GUCCCCAUCGUCUAGUUGGCCUAGGACACUGCCCUUUCACGGCGGCAACAGGGGUUCGAAUCCCCUUGGGGACGCCA
rnacentral:tRNA from 1 species